rnacentral:rRNA from 1 species
CCCCACUAUGCCUAAUNGUAAACUUUUAUUUACAUCUAAAUCGCCAGGGAACUACGAGCUAAGCUUAAAACCCAAAGGACUUGACGGUACCCCAUAUCCCCCUAGAGGAGCCUGUCCUAUAAUCGAUAAUCCACGUUUAACCUCACCACUUUUUGUUAAUCAGCCUGUAUACCUCCGUCGCCAGCUUACCACGUGAGCGAUUGUUAGUGAGCUUAAUGUUCUUACACCAAUACGUCAGGUCAAGGUGCAGCAAAUGAAGCGGGAAGAGAUGGGCUACACUUUCUAUUAUAGAAGAAACGAAAAACUAUUUAUGAAAAUCUAGUUAGAAGGCGGAUUUAGCAGUAAAAAGAAAUCAGCAUGUUCUUUUUAACUCGGCACUGGGGUGUGU